AACGAACGCUGGCGGCAUGCCUAACACAUGCAAGUCGAACGAGACCCAACUUCGGUUGGACGUCUAGUGGCGCACGGGUGCGUAACGCGUGGGAAUCUGCCCUUAGGUUCGGAAUAACUCGGAGAAAUCCGAGCUAAUACCGGAUAAUGACGUAAGUCCAAAGAUUUAUCGCCUAAGGAUGAGCCCGCGUAGGAUUAGCUUGUUGGUGAGGUAAAAGCUCACCAAGGCGACGAUCCUAGCUGGUCUGAGAGGAUGAUCAGCCACACUGGGACUGAGACACGGCCCAGACUCCUACGGGAGGCAGCAGUGGGGAAUAUUGGACAAUGGCGAAAGCCUGAUCCAGCAAUGCCGCGUGAGUGAUGAAGGCCUUAGGGUUCUAAAGCUCUUUUACCCGGGAUGAUAAUGACAGUACCGGGAGAAUAAGCUCCGG
rnacentral:rRNA from 1 species